rnacentral:rRNA from 2 species
GUUCCCAUCCCGAACACAGCAGUUAAGCCCUCCAGGGCCGAUGGUACUUGGGGCUCACGCCCCUGGGAGAGUAGGUCGCCGCCAGAG